GCAAGCCGUUCUCUUUAAGCCACAUGGAAUGUUCCAUGAGGCUGUAUUAAAUAUAUUGCAGGUCCCAGCAACAAAAAUUGCAAGCCGCUCUGUUCAAGCCGCGUGGAGUGCUCUCUGAGUUCCCAUCUACACCAAGCGGGUUGACCCACCGUCAGACC